rnacentral:rRNA from 1 species
AUUGAACGCUGGCGGCAGGCCUAACACAUGCAAGUCGAACGGUAGCACAGAGAGCUUGCUCUCGGGUGACGAGUGGCGGACGGGUGAGUAAUGUCUGGGAAACUGCCUGAUGGAGGGGGAUAACUACUGGAAACGGUAGCUAAUACCGCAUAAUGUCGCAAGACCAAAGAGGGGGACCUUCGGGCCUCUUGCCAUCGGAUGUGCCCAGAUGGGAUUAGCUUGUUGGUGAGGUAAAGGCUCACCAAGGCGACGAUCCCUAGCUGGUCUGAGAGGAUGCCCAGCCGCACUGGAACUGGGACACGGUCCAGACUCCUACGGGAGGCAGCAGUGGGGAAUAUUGCAAAAUGGGCGCAAGCCUGAUGCAGCCAUGCCGCGUGUAUGAAGAAGGCCUUCGGGUUGUAAAGUACUUUCAGCGGGGAGGAAGGCGAUAAGGUUAAUAACCUUGUCGAUUGACGUUACCCGCAGAAGAAGCACCGGCUAACUCCGUGCCAGCAGCCGCCGUAA